rnacentral:rRNA from 1 species
CCUACGGGCGACAGCAGUGAGGAAUAUUGGUCAAUGGGCGUAAGCCUGAACCAGCCAAGCCGCGUGCGGGAUGACGGUUCUAUGGAUCGUAAACCUCUUUUAUAAAGGAAUAAAGUGCGGGACGUGUCUCGUUUUGUAUGUACCUUAUGAAUAAGGAUCGGCUAAUUCCGUGCCAGCAGCCGCGGUAAUACGGAGGAUGCGAGCGUUAUCCGGAUUUAUUGGGUUUAAAGGGUGCGCAGGCGGAUGAAAAAGUUAGCGGUAAAAUUGAGAGGCUAAACCUGUUCGAGCCGUUGAAACUGGUUAUCUUGAGUGAAGGAGAGGUAAGCGGAAUGCAUGGUGUAGCGGUGAAAUGCAUAGAGAUCACGCAGAACACCGAUUGCGAAGGCAGCAUACCGGCGCUCAACUGACGCUCAUGCACGAAAGUGUGGGGAGCGAACAGGAUUAGAUACCCGUGUAGUC